rnacentral:rRNA from 1 species
UACGUAGGUGGCAAGCGUUGUCCGGAAUCAUUGGGCGUAAAGCGCGUGUAGGCGGUCCGGUAAGUCCGCUGUGAAAGUCGGGGGCUCAACCCUCGGAUGCCGGUGGAUACUGUCGGGCUUGAGUACGGAAGAGGCGAGUGGAAUUCCUGGUGUAGCGGUGAAAUGCGCAGAUAUCAGGAAGAACACCUAUGGCGAAGGCAGCUCUCUGGGACGGUACUGACGCUGAGACGCGAAAGCGUGGGGAGCGAACAGG